AAAUUGAGGGGCAAAAGACUGCACCCAAGGCCGAGGAGACAUUCCAUCUGUUUCCCCAUCUCCAUCUUUCAAUGCUAUACAUGAGGAGAUUCAACAUGAGGAUCACCACUGUGCAUAACAGAUACCACUUCGUGCACCUGGAGGUUUAGGAGUUACGGCACAGACUCGGAGAAGAGAAUGGUGCCUUGAAAAAUGGGGUUCCAGUCUGGUGUAAAACUGACAAUUGGAGAGGAUUUUGUGAUGUUCACCUGCUGAGUACAUCCAGAGACUGGUGGCAAUGAAAAACACAUAAGAUGGGAGAAGGAAGAGCAGUGUGCUCACCUCAUAAAUCAUCAUGGCCCUGAGAAGAAGCAAUUGGCGGACAUAAGACUUGGAGUAAGAAAAAGACACUGGUGAAGAGAGCUCACAGACGUGAUCGAUUGUGUUGAACCAGUAAAAGAAAUGGAGAAACUUGCCUGACUGACGGUGUGGAGGCACCCCCUGAUUCUUCCUGGAGGAGAGAUAGUCUUCACGAAAAUUCAACACAGUCAGGUGGUCCCUCUAGGGACCUGAAACCCCCUUGCUGCAGCUCUGAGCAUCUGAGAGGCUGUCAGGGGACCCUCCAUGCAGUCUUUUCCAGGUUUCAAGGAUGGAGUCAGUGUAAGAGAUGAGGAAGAAGAGAAGGAGAGACCAGUCAUUCUCCCCAGUUUCCUUGCACCCUCUUCCCUCUUACACCAGCAGCUGUUACAAGGUGGUUGGUCCUGCAGAUUAAACUGCUUCCAUUCCCGA